rnacentral:tRNA from 1 species
GGGGGUGUAGCUCAUAUGGUAGAGCGCGGCAUCAGCCUUUUGCAUGCGAGAGGCACGGGGUUCGAUUCCUCGCACCUCCA